AUUCAAAUAGCUUAAGAAGAGUUUAAUAUUGAAGAUAUUAAGGUGAUUGAUUAUCUUUGAAUA
rnacentral:tRNA from 1 species